AUGGAUACAACACAUAUACACCUGACUGUGAUUCGAGAUGCAACUUACCUCCUUGCAAAUCAAGGGAUCACUUCUCAGAAUGUGGUGAUUCAAGAAUCGUCACUGUCCACGAAUGCUGGGGACACAGUUACACUCACCUGUGGCUCCAGCACCGAGUCUGUCACCACCAGUAAUGAUGCUCAUUGGAUUCAACAGAAGCCCUACCAGAAGCCCUGGGGUCUAAUAGGUGAUACCAGUAAUAAGAAUCCAGAAGCUCCUGCCCGAUUCUCUGGCUCCCUGCUUGGAAUCAAGGCAGUCCACACCAUCACUGGAGUCAAGUCUGAGGAUGAGGCUGAGCAUUUCUGUGCUCUGUGGUUCAGGGUCACUUCUCAGAAUGUGGUGAUUCAAGAAUCGUCAUUGUCCACAAACCCUGGGGGUACAGUUACAUUCACCUGUGGCUCCAGAACUGGGGCUGUCACCACCAAUAAUAAUUAUGUUUAUUGGAUUCAACAGAAACCCUUCCAGAAGCCCUGGACUCUAAUAGGUGAUGCCAGUCAUAGGCAUCCAGAUGUUCCUGCCCGAUUCUCUGGCUCCCUGCUUGGAAACAAGGCAGUCCUCACCAUCACUGGAGCCAAGGAAGAGGACGAGGCUGAGUAUUUCUGUGCUCUGUGGUUC